rnacentral:sRNA from 1 species
UCCAGUCGCGGAUACGGCGCGCGAUGGCCGG